rnacentral:snRNA from 1 species
GUGCUCGUUUCAGCAGCACAUAUACUAAAAUUGGAACGAUACAGAGGAUAUCAGCAUGGCCCUGCACAAUGCAUGAAGCGUUCCAUGAAAAACAAAGAAGAAGAAGCA